rnacentral:rRNA from 1 species
UACAGAGGAUGCAAGCGUUAUCCGGAAUGAUUGGGCGUAAAGCGUCUGUAGGUGGCUUUUUAAGUCCGCCGUCAAAUCCCAGGGCUCAACUCUGGACAGGCGGUGGAAACUACCAAGCUGGAGUACGGUAGGGGCAGAGGGAAUUUCCGGUGGAGCGGUGAAAUGCGUAGAGAUCGGGAGGAAUACCAGUGGCGAAGGCGGCCUGCUGGGCCACGACCGACACUGAGGUGCGAAAGCGCUGGGGAGCGAACCGG